UCAGUCAGGCGGCGGCGCGCCCCGAUUGGGCCGGCGGCCGCCGGGGAGCGGGGGCAGCACGUUGGGAUGCGCGCUACUUAAGGUCCCGCUGCGUGAGCCAUUGACGUGUUUGGAGCUGGAGACGGCCUGGGCGCUGGUGAAGCGGCAGCCCGAGGGCCACCGCUACUUCCUGACCCUGCCUGCCUGCACCCAGCCGUGGGUUAAAGGCUUGAGGGCCUCGCAGGACGUGUUUCAGCUUCCCGACGGUUGCCCUGCGGUGUGGGAGGGCCGCAACCCCUGCCUGGGAAGAAGACAGGUAGGAUGCCCGUGGUAGCUGGAAGGCUGAGAGAUCCUGACAUAAAUCCUUGCUUGUUGGAAUCUGAUGCUUCUACCAGAUGUAUGGAUGAAUAUAACUAUGACAAAGAAAGGUGUUCCACUCACUUCUUGAAGUACAAAAACUGCCGGAAGUUCUGGGAUCCUUGGGCGCUCUCGUUAGCUGCCUCACCCUCUGCCCACGUGUAAGGACGCAGCUCUGAUAGAGGUGUGUCUUCCUACGUGCAUAAGUGCCUGCGGCCCUAAAGCGAUAGCCUUGUUAACAACUGGAGUUUUCUGGAGAAUUCUAUCAUGAUCCAGAGAAGACGGGAUGGAGUGAAGCCGUCUAUGCCUACAGCAGCAGAGAGAGACAUAAUCUUGCAAGCAAUGGGCAAGAUGCCCUAUUGAGUGUUUGCAUUAAAGUGGUUUAUUUAACUCAGAA